AGUGAACGCUGGCGGUAGGCCUAAUACAUGCAAGUCGAACGGCAGCACAGUAAGAGCUUGCUCUUACGGGUGGCGAGUGGCGGACGGGUGAGGAAUACAUCGGAAUCUACUUUUUCGUGGGGGAUAACGUAGGGAAACUUACGCUACUACCGCAUAUGAUCUACGGGUGAAAGCAGGGGAUAUUCGGACCUUGCGUGAUUGAAUGAGCCGAUGUCGGAUUAGCUAGUUGGCGAGGUAAAGGCCCACCAAGGCGACGAUCCGUAGCUGGUCUGAGAGGAUGAUCGGCCACACUGGAACUGAGACACGGUCCAGACUCCUACGGGAGGCAGCAGUGGGGAAUAUUGGGCAAUGGGCGCAAGCCUGAUGCAGCCAUGCCGCGUGGGUGAAGAAGGCCUUCGGGUUGUAAAGCCCUUUUAUUGGGAAAGAAAAGAAGCGGAUGAAUACCCCGCUGUUCUGACGGUACCCAAAGAGUAAGCACCGGCUAACUUCGUG
rnacentral:rRNA from 1 species